CAAGAAGCUAUGACUACGUCCC
rnacentral:siRNA from 1 species